rnacentral:lncRNA from 1 species
UCAUUUUUUACAAGUUUUUUGAUUGCUUGGCACGCAUUUUAAGGUGUAUACGUUCUAUAGGAGUAUUAAAAUACGUGUCAAGCCCCCGUCCUCCAAGAUAACCAACUCUGGGGACAGAGGGAGUAGUUUAUUUACCACUACUUUUGCAUAUUUGCAGACUCAAGAACUUCCAAGUCAGUCACCUAAAGUUGAAGGCAAGUCAAGUGCCAGUACAACUGAAACCAAAAAUCUUCUAACAAAGUCUGCAGCCAAGAACAAUGCCUAUAAGAAUGUCUGUAAGAAAAAUAGUCAGACGCCAUCACGUAAUCUGUCACUACCAGCCAUGACUCCGCGAAAAAUUCAUUCCAAGAAACUCAGCACGGAUCAGCACAAACAACAUUGAUUUCAUUACAUAAGUAAGAGCUAGUGUGGUUUAUAAGUGCUAGACAUAUUUUAAAUUCUUUGAUCGGUGUCUCAGUGUAAAUUUUGUUCCCUCGGAAUGUUUUACUAUUAUAAUUGAUAUGCAUAGAUUGCCAUCUCAAAGGAGUCUUAAACCAAAAUAUGAGGAAUAUGAGAAAAUAAUCCACUCCAACAGUAUCUUAGUGAUUCCCUAAAUCACUAAGAUCCACUAGCCAUGCCUUAUGUUUAGAGCAUUUCCAGCAGCAUCUUAGCCCAUUCCUUAAAUAUAAUAUAAAAUAUUGGAUCCUAGCGACUUAAGAUAAUAAUAGCUAUUCUCACCUCCAACAAUAUUCCUUAUAUUCAUUCCUUAUAUACUAUUUUAUUAUUAAAAGUUACCAUUAUUGCAAUAGGUGAAAAGAGAGAACAUGUUUGUAUUCAAAAUUUAUUAUAAAAUAAGAUUUAGCAGAGGAGAGAGGUUACCUAAAGAUAAGGCAUGGCUAGUGGAUCUUAGUGAUUUAGGGAAUCAUUAAGAUACUGUUGGAGUGGAUUAUUUUCCCAUAUUCCUCAUAUUUUGGUUUAAGACUCCAAAUAGAGAAACUGUUGGAGUUGCUCUUAAUAAAUUUUGAAUACAAGCAUGUUCUCUCUCUUCACCUAUUGCAAUAAUGGUAACUUUUAAUAAUAAAAUAGUAUAUAAGGAAUGAAUAUACGGAAUAUUGUUGGAGGUGAGAAUAACUAUUAUUAUCUUAACGGUUUUUCUAGUGUGUGCCCAUGGGCACACACUAAGCACAAAAUUUGAUAGUUUUUCUAUGUUUUGAUUGGCUUACACUCUUUUAAUAAUGAUGGCCCCCCUGCAUUCACACCAACCACACCAAUGAAAACACAUCAAAUUUAUGAGUUUCCGUGCUUGGCAUGUGCUCAUGGGCACACACUAGACAAACCCUUAUCUUAAAUCAGUAGAAUCCAAUAUUUUAUAUUAUAUUUAAGGAAAGGGCUAAGAUGCUGCUGUUGAUGCUCUAAGAACCCUUGUACUGAAUUACGGAAUCUAGAUAUCUAUAACUCCUUAUGACUUUAGCUUGUGAAUGUUCGGAUGACCAUACAUAUGGAUUAAUACAUCAAUUGUCUUCUUAGUGCCAGUUGCUCCAAGUCCUUCAGCGCCUGUCAGAAAACAUUACAAUGUUCGACAUCAUCAACUCCUUUUCUCCUGAGAACAGAGUUAAGAGCUGAAAAAAGAAAGCAGGUAUGACUAUGCUUUUUAGUUCUCUCAUCAUCAGACUUAGUUUUAAUUGGAUUUUUCAAUCUUCUAACGUGAAAUGCAAUACUUUCAGAGACUUGAAGAAAGAUUUAGUGAGAAAGAAACAGAGAAAGUCCAAAUGCACACAAAAUCCAAGGUAACUUCUUGAAGCCCUUUCUUGUGUAUAUUUAAGAUAUAAAAACUCAUAACUGAAUGACAUCCUAGUUUAUUGAACUAGCAUUUAUAAAAUCUGUUUCCAGUGUUUUCUCUACCAUUAAUAGUCUAAUCCCAAAACCAUAUCCAUGAAAUGUGAUUUGUCAGUUAAUUUGCAACAAUGAUGCUAUAUAAACUUGUAAGCUCUAGUUCUUCAUCAUUGAGAUCUUUUAAUUUUAUUUUUUUUCAGGAAAGAGCAGAAACAGAAGUUUGGAAACUGCGUCAAAGUCUUUGUUUCAAAGCUCGGCCUCUUCCUCAAUUCUAUAGGGACAGAAAGGUAUUCUGAUUCUCAUGAGCCUUUCGUCUCUCUUUUUUUUUAACAGAGGAUUAUAAUGUUAUCCAAAGAUUCUUGGAAUAGCCAAAUUAUACCUAUCUGAGGUUCAUUGGUAACAAUAGUGCCUUGAUCCCUUGAUCUUAUUUGCUACUUAAAUUAGUAAGUCGACACUCCUAGCAUAGUACUCCCUCCAUCCCUCUCAUUUUUUACAAGUUUUUUGAUUGCUUGGCACGCAUUUUAAGGUGUAUACGUUCUAUAGGAGUAUUAAAAUACGUGUCAAGCCCCCGUCCUCCAAGAUAACCAACUCUGGGGACAGAGGGAGUAGUUUAUUUACCACUACUUUUGCAUAUUUGCAGACUCAAGAACUUCCAAGUCAGUCACCUAAAGUUGAAGGCAAGUCAAGUGCCAGUACAACUGAAACCAAAAAUCUUCUAACAAAGUCUGCAGCCAAGAACAAUGCCUAUAAGAAUGUCUGUAAGAAAAAUAGUCAGACGCCAUCACGUAAUCUGUCACUACCAGCCAUGACUCCG